UCAAAGGUGGGCGUGAUGGUAUAGAA
rnacentral:piRNA from 1 species